rnacentral:tRNA from 1 species
GGGGUUAUGGCUCAAUGGUUGAGUGCUCACCUAGCAUAUGUGAAGCACUGGGUUCGAUCCUCAGAACCACA